AUUCCAGGAUCGCGUUUUGCGUGAACUUUUUAGAUACCGAUCUACUUGAAAUAACACUUGUGAGAACAAGUCCACUUAAAUCAGAAUCCAAUGAAUAAUAUUUAUUUUAAUUUAUCUUGUUAUCAUCAUUUAGUACUACUCUGCAUAUGGUUCCAUAUAUUUUGGUCUCACGGACAUUAGCACAAGCACCUGAUGUUCUAGUACAAGAAAUGACCAAUUGAAAAUCAAUGAUUUUUUCUAGUAGAUAGCAACACUACAAAAGACCGUGGACGAAUGUUCAUUAGCAUCAAUUGUAAAAAUGGGAUGCCAAAAACACACACGGACGUUCGGUUGCACUAUCUGCAGCCGUCCAAGUACAGGCACAACGGCAGCUGUCAAGCAGACCAAGUGCAGUAGCAGCUCCCUUCCCAUAUCCAGUCGCCAGCUCCAUGCCUCCAUCUCAUCCGUCCCUCACAACACUGAUUGCAGCAGGGAGAGGAAACAACAAGUGCUGGUGUAGCUUGGCAGGAUAGAGAGAUGGCGACCCACACAGUGAGCACACAUAUCAAACUGAAAGAGGUCGCCUAGAACGUACUUCACAGUGAGCAUGCACACCCACACAUCCAUGUCCAGCUUGGCUUGGCCGGCAAGAGCGACAGAGGAGAGGAGCCGCUGUAGUGAGCCAAAUCAAGCCGCACCAAUUCUGGCCAUCUUGGAGAUAUCUGCAUUCUUGCUGACCCUGUCACCUUUCUCGCAGGAGCCCAGGUGACCUCGUCGACUCCCUUAGAAGCCGGAGACUCGCUGUAGUGGUGCUGUGACUUGUGCUCAUACGAAGUUUCCUUCCAGGCAUGUAUCGGUGGAACUGCUGCCAAUUUUUUCUGUUGAACUGAUACAGACAAAUUGCCUCAAAUAUUUAUGGAAAUAUACUGAAGAAUGCUGCAGUUUUUUCCUGCAAGAAGUGUCGUUGUCCUCACUCUGAUGGAGUAACUCACCACGGCAGCACCACUUCCUACGUGCUAGCAUCCGCUGGAUUUGUGGCCUAUGAAUGUCCUUUACACAGUAGGUAGCCGAGAGCGACC
rnacentral:lncRNA from 1 species